rnacentral:rRNA from 1 species
UACGUAGGCAGCGAGCGUUGUUCGGAGUUACUGGGCGUAAAGCGUGCGUAGGCGGUGUCUUAAGUUUGUUGUGAAAUCUCCCGGCUUAACCGGGAGGGUGCGGCGAAUACUGAGAUGCUGGAGUGCCGGAGAGGUAAGCGGAAUUCCUGGUGUAGCGGUGGAAUGCGCAGAUAUCAGGAGGAACACCAACGGCGAAGGCAGCCCGCUGGGACGGUACUGACGCUAAGGCGCGAAAGCGUGGGGAGCGAACAGG